rnacentral:rRNA from 1 species
GAUAAACGCUGGCGGCGUGCAUAGCACAUGCAAGUCGAACGAUGAAGCUUAGAUGAUUUCUUCGGAAUGAACUUAAGUGGAUUAGUGGCGAACGCGUGAGUAACACGUGAGUAGCCUGCCUUACACAAGGGGAUAGCCUCUGGAAACGGAGAAUAAUACCCUAUAAAGUCUAAUCAGCUCCUGCUGGAAAGACCAAAGAUUUAUCGGUGUAAGAUGGACUUGCGUCUGAUUAGCUAGUUGGUGAGAUAAAAGCUCACCAAGGCGACGAUCAGUAGCCGGCUUGAGAGAGUGUACGGCCACGUUGGGACUGAGACACGGCCCAAACUCCUACGGGAGGCAGCAGUGGGGAAUUUUGCACAAUGGGGGAAACCCUGAUGCAGCGACGCCGCGUGAUUUAGAAGGCCUUCGGGUUGUAAAAAUCUUUUUUACGGGAUGAAAAUGACAGUACCGUAAGAAUAAGGUCCGGCUAAAUACGUGCCAGCAGCCGCGGUAAUACGUAUGGACCGAGCGUUGUCCGGAAUCAUUGGGCGUAAAGGGUACGUAGGCGGCCUAGUAAGUUAGGAGUGAAAGAUAUAGCUCAACUAUAUAAAGCUUUUAAAACUGUUAGGCUUGAGAGAUGAAAGGGAAAGUGGAAUUCCUAGUGUAGCGGUGAAAUGCGCAGAUAUUAGGAAGAAUACCGGUGGCGAAGGCGACUUUCUGGUCAUCAUCUGACGCUGAGGUACGAAAGCGUGGGUAGCAAACAGGAUUAGAUACCCUGGUAGUCCACGCUGUAAACGAUGAGUGUUAGGUUCUUGGAAUAAUCUGGGAGCCGCAGCUAACGCAUUAAACACUCCGCCUGGGGAGUACGCACGCAAGUGUGAAACUCAAAGGAAUUGACGGGGACCCGCACAAGCAGCGGAGCAUGUGGUUUAAUUCGACGCAACGCGAAGAACCUUACCAAGUCUUGACAUAAUACGGAGGCAAUUAGAGAUAAUAGCUUAUCACUUCGGUGAACUGUAUUACAGGUGGUGCAUGGUUGUCGUCAGCUCGUGUCGUGAGAUGUUGGGUUAAGUCCCAUAACGAGCGCAACCCCUAUCGUUAGUUACCAUCAUUAAGUUGGGGACUCUAGCGAUACUGCCGGUGAUAAACCGGAGGAAGGUGGGGACGACGUCAAAUCAUCAUGCCCUUUAUGACUUGGGCUACACACGUGCUACAAUGGCAGAUACAGAGGGCAGCGAAAGAGUGAUCUGAAGCGAAACUCACAAAAUCUGUCCCAGUUCGGAUUGUACUCUGCAACUCGAGUACAUGAAGUUGGAGUUGCUAGUAAUCGCGAAUCAGAAUGUCGCGGUGAAUGCGUUCCCGGGUCU